ACGAUGUCGACUUGGAGGUUGUGCCCUUGAGGCGUGGCUUCCGGAGCUAACGCGUUAAGUCGACCGCCUGGGGAGUACGGCCGCAAGGUUAAAACUCAAAUGAAUUGACGGGGGCCCGCACAAGCGGUGGAGCAUGUGGUUUAAUUCGAUGCAACGCGAAGAACCUUACCUACUCUUGACAUCCAGAGAACUUAGCAGAGAUGCUUUGGUGCCUUCGGGAACUCUGAGACAGGUGCUGCAUGGCUGUCGUCAGCUCGUGUUGUGAAAUGUUGGGUUAAGUCCCGCAACGAGCGCAACCCUUAUCCUUUGUUGCCAGCGAUUCGGUCGGGAACUCAAAGGAGACUGCCAGUGAUAAACUGGAGGAAGGUGGGGAUGACGUCAAGUCAUCAUGGCCCUUACGAGUAGGGCUACACACGUGCUACAAUGGCAUAUACAAAGAGAAGCGACCUCGCGAGAGCAAGCGGACCUCAUAAAGUAUGUCGUAGUCCGGAUUGGAGUCUGCAACUCGACUCCAUGAAGUCGGAAUCGCUAGUAAUCGUGGAUCAGAAUGCCACGGUGAAUACGUUCCCGGGCCUUGUACACACCGCCCGUCACACCAUGGGAGUGGGUUGCAAAAGAAGUAGGUAGCUUAACCUUCGGGAGGGCGCUUACCACUUUGUGAUUCAUGACUGGGGUGAAGUCGUAACAAGGUAACCGUAGGGGAACCUGC
rnacentral:rRNA from 1 species